ensembl:lncRNA
GGGGGUCAGGAGGGGAAAUUUGGCAAAAUCCGCCCCCCCCACAAAUAAAUACGCACCGUUGCCCCUCCCCCAAGGGGGCGUGGUCUGCUCUAACAGCCGAUUGGCACCCCCAAAACCUGGGCAAUGGGUCGGGCCGUGGGUCCCCCCCGCUGUGGGGUCUGGAGUGGGUCAGUCCGUGGGUCUCCCCCCCACCAUGGGGGUCUGGAGUGGGUCAAUCCGUGGGUCUCCCCCCCAUGGGGGUCUGGAGUGGGUCAAUCCGUGGGUCCCUCCAUGGGGGGCUGGAGUGGGUCAGUCCAUGGGUCCCUGUGGAGCGGGUUGGUCCAUGGGUCCCCCCGUGGGGUCUGGAGUGGGUCUGUCCGUGGGUCCGUCCGUGGGUCCCCCCCAUAGGGGGCUGGAGCAGGUCAGUCGUGGAUUGUCUCCCCCCCCCCCCGCUGUGGGGUCCGCCGUGGGUCGCUCCGUGGUGCCUCUCCCCCCCGCGGGGGGCCAGAAUGGUUCAGUCUGCAGCCCCGGCCCCCCCCAAGAUGGGGGGCACAAUGGGUCGGUCCAUGGUUCCCCCCAUGGGGGUCUGUGGUGGGUCAGUCCGUGCUUCCCCAUGGCCAUGCUGUGGGUCGGUCCAUGCCCCUCUUUGGGGUCCCGCCGUGGGUCAGUCCAUGCUCCCCCAUGGCCGCGCCGUGGGUCGGUCCGUGCUCCCCAUGGGGUCUUGCCGUGGGUCAGUCCGCACCCCCAUGGGGUCCCGCCGUGGUCCGGCUCAUGCUCCCCCCACGGCGUCUUGCUGUGGGUCGGUCCAAGCUCCCCCCACGGGGUCUUGCCGUGGGUCAGUCCGUGCCCCCCCCAGGGUCUCACUGUGGGUCGCUCCGUGCCCCCCGCGGGAUCUCGCCGUGGGUCAGUCUGUGCCCCCCACGGGGUCUUGCCAUGGGUCAGUCCAUGACCCCCACAGGGUCUUGCUGUGGGUCAGUCUGUGCCCCCCACGGGGUCUUGCCGUGGGUCAGUCCGUGCCCCCCACGGGGUCUCGCCGUGGGUCGCUCCAUGCCCCCCACAGGAUCUCGCCGUGGGUCAGUCUGUGCCCCCCACGGGGUCUUGCCGUGGGUCAGUCCGUGCCCCCCACGGGGUCUCGCCGUGGGUCGCUCCACACUCUCCCCACGGGGGGUCUCGCCAUGGCGCGCCCCACGGCAGCGGCGGCGGCGUGGGGGGGGCGGGCGGCCGUGGGG